rnacentral:misc_RNA from 1 species
UUAACUACUAUAUAGUACUCAGACGACACUAAUAUUCAGGGUUUUGGGUCCUCUGGCGGGCGCUUACCAGCCGGGGCCGGUAGUCGGGCCGGAGCCUAACGGCCCGCCAAAGCAACAAAGUAAUAAUAACAUAGGGUGGGAGAUCUACCCGGUAGGGCAUGAACUCUGUAAUGAUCCCUCCGCAGGUUCACCUACGGAGA